rnacentral:rRNA from 1 species
CGUGAGUGAUGAAGGCCUUCGGGUCGUAAAGCUCUGUCAGGUGGGAAGAACAAGGAAACCCCCAAUAAGGGUUCCCUUUGACGGUACCACCAGAGGAAGCACCGGCUAACUCCGUGCCAGCAGCCGCGGUAAUACGGAGGGUGCAAGCGUUGUUCGGAAUCACUGGGCGUAAAGCGCGUGUAGGCGGCCCACUAAGUCAGAUGUGAAAGCCCUCGGCUCAACCAAGGAACUGCAUCUGAAACUGGUAGGCUUGAGUACGGGAGAGGAGAGUGGAAUUCCCGGUGUAGAGGUGAAAUUCGUAGAUAUCGGGAAGAACACCGGUGGCGAAGGCGGCUCUCUGGACCGAUACUGACGCUGAGACGCGGAAGCGUGGGGAGCAAACAGGAUUAGAUACCCUGGUAGUCCACGCUGUAAACGAUGGGCACUAGGUGUGGAGGGUAUUGACCCCUUCUGUGCCGGAGCUAACGCAUUAA